GACGGAGGGGGCAAGCGUUGUUCGGAAUUACUGGGCGUAAAGGGCUCGUAGGCGGCCAACUAAGUCCGACGUGAAAUCCCAAAGCUUAACUUUGGAACUGCGUCGGAUACUGGAUGGCUUGAAUUCGGGAGAGGGAUGCAGAAUUCCAGGUGUAGCGGUGGAAUGCGUAGAGAUCGGGAAGAACAUCAGUGGCGAAGGCGGUCUGCUGGGCCGUUGCUGACGCUGAGGCGCGACAGCGUGGGGAGCAAACAGG
rnacentral:rRNA from 1 species